AAGGUUGUUCCAACAAAUCCGACACAGUCAUGAUAUAACAAUAUUGUUACAACCUCGUGUCGUCAACCUUGUAACAUUCUUGUUAUAUCAUGACUGUAUCAGACUUGUUAGAACAACCUU